rnacentral:rRNA from 1 species
CACCGCCCGUCACACCCUGGGAAUUGGUUUUGCCCGAAGCAUCGGACCAAUGAUCACCCAUGACUUCUGUGUACCACUAGUGCCACAAAGGCCUUUGGUGGUCUUAUUGGCGCAUACCACGGUGGGGUCUUCGACUGGGGUGAAGUCGUAACAAGGUAGCCGUAGGGGAACCUGUGGCUG